UACGGGGGGGGCAAGCGUUGUUCGGAAUUACUGGGCGUAAAGGGCUCGUAGGUGGCCAACUAAGUCAGACGUGAAAUCCCUCGGCUCAACCGGGGAACUGCGUCUGAUACUGGGUGGCUUGAAUCCGGGAGAGGGAUGCGGAAUUCCAGGUGUAGCGGUGAAAUGCGUAGAUAUCUGGAGGAACACCGGUGGCGAAGGCGGGUCUCUGGGCCGAUACUGACGCUGAGGAGCGAAAGCGUGGGGAGCGAACAGG
rnacentral:rRNA from 1 species